GGAGUUAGCCGGUGCUUCUUCUGUGAGUGAUGUCCUUCCUGCCGGCUAUUAACCCGCAGGCCUUCUUCCUCACUGAAAGUGCUUUACAACCCGAAGGCCUUCUUCACACACGCGGCAUGGCUGGAUCAGGGUUGCCCCCAUUGUCCAAUAUUCCCCACUGCUGCCUCCCGUAGGAGUCUGGGCCGUGUCUCAGUCCCAGUGUGGCUGAUCAUCCUCUCAGACCAGCUACGGAUCGUCGCCUUGGUGAGCCGUUACCUCACCAACCAGCUAAUCCGACAUAGGCUCAUCCGAUAGCGCGAGGCCCGAAUGUCCCCCGCUUUCCCCCGUAGGGCGUAUGCGGUAUUAGCCUGGGUUUCCCCAGGUUAUCCCCCACUACCGGGCAGAUUCCUAUGCAUUACUCACCCGUCCGCCGCUCGCCACCAGGGAGCAAGCUCCCCGUGCUGCCGCUCGACUUGCAUGUGUUAGGCCUGCCGCCAGCGUUCAAUCUGAGCCAGGAUCAAACUCUGA
rnacentral:rRNA from 1 species